AAUGGGCGAAAGCCUGAUGCAGCGACGCCGCGUGAGGGAAGACGGUUUUCGGAUUGUAAACCUCUGUCUUCGGGGACGAAACAAGACGGUACCCGAGGAGGAAGCCACGGCUAACUACGUGCCAGCAGCCGCGGUAAUACGUAGGUGGCGAGCGUUGUCCGGAAUUACUGGGUGUAAAGGGAGUGUAGGCGGGGCUUCAAGUCCGUUGUGAAACCGAUCGGCUCAACUGAUCGUUGCGGCGGAAACUGGAGCUCUUGAGUGAGGUAGAGGCAGGCGGAAUUCCCAGUGUAGCGGUGAAAUGCGUAGAUAUUGGGAGGAACACCAGUGGCGAAGGCGGCCUGCUGGGCCUUAACUGACGCUGAGGCUCGAAAGUGUGGGGAGCAAA
rnacentral:rRNA from 1 species